rnacentral:rRNA from 1 species
CCUACGGGAGGCAGCAGUGAGGAAUAUUGGUCAAUGGGCGCGAGCCUGAACCAGCCAAGUAGCGUGAAGGAUGACUGCCCUACGGGUUGUAAACUUCUUUUAUAAAGGAGUAAAGUGAGGCACGUGUGCCUUUUUGUAUGUACUUUAUGAAUAAGGAUCGGCUAACUCCGUGCCAGCAGCCGCGGUAAUACGGAGGAUCCGAGCGUUAUUCGGAUUUAUUGGGUUUAAAGGGUGCGUAGGUGGGUUAUUAAGUCAGUUGUGAAAGUUUGCAGCUUAACCGUAAAAUUGCAAUUGAUACUGGCAGUCUUGAGUGUAGUUGAGGUAGGCGGAAUUCGUGGUGUAGCGGUGAAAUGCGUAGAGAUCACGAAGAACUCUGAUUGCGAAGGCAGCUUACUAAA